rnacentral:lncRNA from 1 species
AACCACCCUAUGGCCCCAUAACCACAGUCACCCCAUAACCACACUGUUGCCCUAUCGCCCCGUGCCCCAUAACCAAACUAUCUCUCUAUAACCACACUGUUGCCCCAUAGCCACCCUAUAACCACACUACUGCCCCAUAACCGCUAUAUCGCCCCAUACCCACCCCAUACCCAAAGAACCACCAAUACCCCAUUAUCACCCCACAUCCCAUAACCACAGUCACCCCAUAACCACAACACUAUCACCCCAUACCCACCCCAUACCCCACAACCCCUCCAUUACCCCAUUACCACCCCAUACCCCAUACCCACCUCAUACCCCAUUACCACCCCAUGACCGCACUAUCACCCCAUACCCCACAACCACCCCACAACCCCUCCAUUACCACCCCAUACCCCACAACACUAUCACCCCAUACCCACCCCAUACCCCACAACCACCCCAUACCCACCCCANNNNNNNNNNNNNNNNNNNNNNNNNCCCUCGGUCCGGUCCGGUUCGGUACCGUCAGGAUCUUUAUUGGGUUCGGGAGCGAACAGCCCGGACGGGACCCCCCCAAUAAACCCCAACCGGAACCGGGACCGGGACCUUGUCAUUAUGGGGGGGCACGGCUGAUAUGGGACGGAACCGGGCCAAGGCACGGGCGAUAUAGGGACGGAACCGGGACAAGGCACGGGCGAUAUAGGGACAGAACCGGGACAAGGCAUGGCCCAUUUGGGACCGGGACCGGGACCAAGCACGGCCUUUAUGGGGAUGGAACCGGGACAAAGCAUGGGCGAUAUAGGGACGGAACCGGGACAAGGCACGGCCUUUAUGGGGUCGGAACCGGGACAGGGCACAGCCCAUAUGGGGCCGGGGGUGGGGACAAGGCACGGCCGGUAUUUGGGGUCAGCGGGGGGGGGGGGAUACGGCCCAGCGCAGGGGAUGGCGGGGGAUGGGGGCGCUAUAGGGCCGGGGGGGUUGGUUUUCAGGUGGGGGGGGAAGCUUUAGGGUGGGGGGGGC